UCAGACCCGGGCAGAAGUUAAAAAGCCGGGUCGAAAACGCUUCGCCCAAAGACGAGUAAUCUGAUCUAACUAAAAAGGCCGCUCUGCGGCCUUUUUUCUUUCAAUAACUAAUUGAUUUAUAAUGUUUUAUAUCUCUUCGUUCCAC
rnacentral:sRNA from 1 species